rnacentral:sRNA from 2 species
CCAUAAAAAGACAUUUUGCCGAUUUUGAAUUGAAAGCGGCGACGGCAUAAUUAAUCAUGUGAUAUCAAAGUAAUCCAAAGAUCCACAUACAUAUCAGGAACAGAAAAACAAGGACUACUUCAAUACAGCGUAUUCGGCCUGGAUCACAGCCAAUCUAGGGAUCUUGGUCUAAAUCGUAUGAAAGAAAGACCCCGCCAGCGUACUAACAAGUCAAUGCAGUUGUAUUCCGUACAGCCUGUGCAAUGUGGGGAGUACCAGAGAGCAAGCAAGGAAACAAACAUCAAAAAUAAGAGGUUGUGUGUAUAGAGCUGGAGGCCCCAACGUAGCCCAAGAAGAGCCCUGUAAAAGAAGAAAACCGGAAAGAAAAAUGACACUCAAAAAAAGGGUGAAAAAGAGUGGACUGAAAUGCGUCAAUACGUCCACCAAACACUCCAACCUUCACAACAAAAUAUUCUCUCAAAAUCAUGUCUAAUUUUUGCUUUCCAAAUCACUCUCCUUCACCGCGAACCCUUUUAGCCGCACGCGGCAUAUCAAAAAAUAAAAUUCAAUCACUGCACCCAAUUGUAUACAUGUAGUAUAGCAUGCGCGCGACCCGGGAGGCCGCCAAUAAUGAAAAAAGAAAAGAAAAAACACACGAACAACAAGGUACUAAUUUUCACCACGACUCCUCCUCCGCAUGGAAGACCUGGUAUGAAGCUCGAACGACUCACCCCUCUCCAGUUCAUCCUCGACCGCAGAAUCUGAAGAUUUAAAUAUCCCACCGCCCUCUCCAGACGCUGGCGUAACCGUUACAUCACUGUCUCCAUAGCCGUGCGCUCCACCCACACUCUCCAUGGUGAAGGGGCUGGCAGUAGGCGCAUCGAGCGCGACAAGCUCGUCCUGUGUGAACCAGCGUGGAAGCAAAAACGUCCGAACAGGGAUGAGAAUGAGGAUGAACACGGGGAACCCAAUGGCCGCAAUCGUUUGCGUUAUGGCGAAGGUUGCGCCAAACCCGACAAGCUCAAUACCCACAAAUGCCC